ACGGCAGUAGCUCAGUUGGUAGAGCAUUGGAUUCCAAAUCCAACGGUCGAGGGUUCGAGUCCUUCCUGCCGUG
rnacentral:tRNA from 2 species